GCCUGGGUGGCUCAGUGGUUGAGCAUCUGCCUUCAGCUCAGGUCAUGAUCCCGGGGUCCUGGGAUCAAGCCCCACAUCAGGCU
rnacentral:tRNA from 1 species